rnacentral:lncRNA from 1 species
GGAGUACAAAAUAACAAAAAAAAGACAUAGCUAAUUAAUUGGUAACCAAGAUAAGGGUUAUGCUGCAUCGUUCCCAAACCGUUUGAUGAGUUUUGGGGCGCAAACCCAGCAAGCUACAAUGGCUGAGAUGAUGAGUAUGAGAUUUAAGAGUCUAGGAUGUGUGUGUGAAGAACAAGCCUCUUAGGGCAGAAUAGAGUCUUGAAAUGGUGAAGAAAGAAUCUGAUGAAACUAGUAUGAACUUAGAUCAGAAACAAAGAGACUUUGAGAGAUUAAGAGAUUAGAGACUAAGAAAGGGAGAGAUUAAGGGAAUCUGAUCAAGAACACACUUUUAUAAUUAUGAAGGAGAUGGGAAAACCCCCAUACUCUCUUAAGAGCUUUAAUUUUCGUCCAUACACAUGCUUUUAUAAGCUUUACACUUUGAAACAUUAGAAACCCUUAAUCUAAUGGCUAGAAAUGACUUGUGAAAUGGAUGGCUUGGAUGUAGUCUUGUUUUGGUCUUUGCAAUCUUGGUGAUGGCUUCUGAUUGGUUAAGGAAGGCUGGCUGGUGAUUGGUCCAUUCAAACUGGUCAAGGCAAGGGCUGGCUUCUGAUUGGUUCCUCAAAGGCUCCCAUGAACCUUCCCACUUCUUUAGCUAGAUACAUGGUCCCCUUUGCUUUCCCUUUACACCUCUUGACAGCCUGUCCUUGUUGACCACGUCCUCUCUCUUCCUUAUCCACAAACAGUCUGAUUACAAUCAGACAAGGUCGCCUAAUCGCUCUCUAAACCGACGCCCUAAGUUUGCACAACUUCUGGUCGAUCCUGGGUGAAGUACGGUUGAUGGUACGGACCGCCUGUCCGUACCUCGCCCUAUUUUUGCACAUCUCACCCAAACAUCUCCAAUGGUCAGACCUGACUCGGUUUGGGUCGCCCUAAGAUUGCCCGGCCCGUCCGGUUUUGUACCGUCCGUACCGUCUGAUCAUCUGGUCGCCCUAUCUUUGCACCAUCACCCAUCUGUCUCCAAAUGGUGUCUAAGUCCCUCCUGGACUCAAACCCUAUCUUUGCACAGCCUUCAUGACACUUCUAGACUUCUCUAAACCUUCAUGAAGCCUUGAUAGACAAUCUCUUAAGAUCUUGUCCCUAUUCUUGCUCAAGACCCAAACUCAACCCAACUCCUCCUUUGGCUCCAUUUCUUUCUUCAAGUCAACACUCCCCCUCAAGCUUGACUUUAGCUGAUCCUAAGUCAAGCUUGGAACCUUGAAGAACUUCCUCAUUAAAAACCUCACCAAGGAAAACCCUUUGGGACAAAACCUUGAUGAGGGAAAAAGAGUAAAGUCUCCAAGGCCUAGGGAUUGGCCAGUGAGUCUUUGUGCCUUACCAACAAUGUAAGGGACACAAAGACUCUGGAUCAUGGCCUCUUCAUUCUUCCCACGCCUUGUACUCUCCUUACUGCCUGAUCUUGGUCUCUCCCCCUUUCACCUAACCUCUUGUUAGGUUGAAGUGCUCGGACACACCAGAUCAGCCUCUUCUUGGAGAUACAACACUCUUGCUGAGUCUUGGCUGCUUCUUCUUCUUCUAGAGUCGCCACCUUGUUGCUGGAACUACAUGAGGAUGCUUCAGCCACUCUCCAAUCACCUCAACACUUGAAAUUAAUUUAUAAAGGUUUCAAUGUGUGUUGUUUUCAUCAUCGUUCACUUUCUAAAUACCACUGUUACACGUUUUCCCAAGUAUGCUUAUAAAAAAAUUCCUAAUGGAUACUGUUAAAUAGAAGAUUAAAUAUUAUUAUCUAUGUUUUUAAUAUAAAUAGUUUUAAAAUUAUGCACAUAGAUUAAAAAAUCAUUAAUUUUUAUAUUUUCUAAACAAGAACAUCUUUAAUUACCUAACCACAAAUCAACCAAUAAUAAAAUAGAAAAUAUAUUAUCAUUGGUCAUAUAACAUUAAUUGUUGAUAAAUUUUACAUAGAAAACCGAAAACGUCAUAUAAUUUGGAACAUCAAAAUUUUUCUAAAACGACUUAUAUUAAGAAACGGAGGGAGUACAAAAUAACAAAAAAAAGACAUAGCUAAUUAAUUGGUAACCAAGAUAAGGGUUAUGCUGCAUCGUUCCCAAACCGUUUGAUGAGUUUUGGGGCGCAAACCCAGCAAGCUACAAUGGCUGAGAUGAUGAGUAUGAGAUUUAAGAGUCUAGGAUGUGUGUGUGAAGAACAAGCCUCUUAGGGCAGAAUAGAGUCUUGAAAUGGUGAAGAAAGAAUCUGAUGAACUAGUAUGAACUUAGAUCAGAAACAAAGAGACUUUGAGAGAUUAAGAGAUUAGAGACUAAGAAAGGGAGAGAUUAAGAGAAUCUGAUCAAGAACAUACUUUAUAAUAUGAAGGAGAUGGGGAAAUCCCCCAUACUCUCUUAAGAGCUUUAAUUUUCGUCCAUACACAUGCUUUUAUAAGCUUUACACUUUGAAACAUUAGAAACCCUUAAUCUAAUGGCUAGAAAUGACUUGUGAAAUGGAUGGCUUGGAUGUAGUCUUGUUUUGGUCUUUGCAAUCUUGGUGAUGGCUUCUGAUUGGUUAAGGAAGGCUGGCUGGUGAUUGGUCCAUUCAAACUGGUCAAGGCAAGGGCUGGCUUCUGAUUGGUUCCUCAAAGGCUCCCAUGAACCUUCCCACUUCUUUAGCUAGAUACAUGGUCCCCUUUGCUUUCCCUUUACACCUCUUGAUAGCCUGUCCUUGUUGACCACGUCCUCUCUCUUCCUUAUCCACAAACAGUCUGAUUACAAUCAGACAAGGUCGCCUAAUCGCUCUCUAAACCGACGCCCUAAGUUUGCACAACUUCUGGUCGAUCCUGGGUGAAGUACGGUUGAUGGUACGGACCGCCUGUCCGUACCGCGCCCUAAGUUUGCACAUCUCACCCAAACAUCUCCAAUGGUUGAGUGUGAUCAGGUUCUGGGUCGCCCUAAGUUUGCACGGUUUGUCCGUACCGUCAGUACCGUCUGAACCUCGGGACGCCCUAUCUUUGCACCAUCACCCAACUAUCUCCAAAUGGUGUCGAAGUCCCUCCUGGACUCAAACCCUAUCUUUGCACAGCCUUCAUGACACUUCUAGACUUCUCUAAACCUUCAUGAAGCCUUGAUAGACAAUCUCUUAAGAUCUUGUCUCUAUUCUUGCUCAAGACCCAAACUCAACCCAACUCCUCCUUUGUUUCCAUUUCUUUCUUCAAGUCAACAAUGAGGAGCGCCACAAAGACGAUGGUUAGGAUGAAACCUGUUUCCAUUUUUUCUUGAUCAAACCACCAAGCCUUUGGGUCUUUC